rnacentral:lncRNA from 1 species
UUAGGUGAGUGUUAUAAAAUUUCCAUGAAGCUCUCUUUCUCCUAUAUAAAAUAUCUACAAGCUAAGGAAUCAUAUAUUCUAUGCAAAUCUCCUUCCAGCUGCUAUGAAUUCUUCCAAAGUAAUUAUCAUAUAUCUUUGUUAUAUAUAGUAGAAUACAACAAGAGGCCCUCACGCAUUAAUGUUGUUCAUCUUCGUUUCUCCCUUAAAAGCAAGGUUGAAAUAAAUUUCAAAAUGAUAAGUUCCCUACUCUAUGUAUAGUGGGAUGCAUGGAGCACAAGAAAAGAAAAGCUGUAUAUGCAUGGGGCAGAAACUUUUGUCAUAACCGAUGGUGUUAAAACUUUGUAACUAGUUUUAUAAUAUUAAUUUAUAAAACUAGUAUUAGUAGAUAGAUAAAUAUAAAUUAUACUACUUGCUUUGCCAUGG